GGCUGCGUAGUGUAGCGGUUAUCACUUCAGAUUCUGAUGUUAUCAUCUCAGCAUUCUGGCGACCCCGGUUCGAUUCCGGGCGCGGCCU